CCUGGCGGUAGGCUUAACACAUGCAAGUCGAGCGAGAAAGUAUCUUCGGAUGCGAGUAUAGCGGCGGACGGGUGAGUAACGCGUAGGAAUCUACCUAGUAGAAGGGGAUAGCCCGAGGAAGCUCGGAUUAAUACCGUAUACCUCCUUUGGGAGAAAGAGGGCCUCUCUUGAUGCUCUCGCUAUUAGAUGAGCCUGCGUAAGAUUAGCUUGUUGGUAAGGUAAUGGCUUACCAAGGCUACGAUCUUUAGCUGGUCUGAGAGGACGAUC
rnacentral:rRNA from 1 species